CCUACGGGUGGCUGCAGUGGGGGAUAUUGCACAAUGGGGGGAACCCUGAUGCAGCGACGCCGCGUGGGUUCCGGCUCUUUUCUUCUCUUCCCGCCCUCUCGGCCGUGCCGCCGCUGCCGGUCCCUGACCAAGAAGCCCCGGCUAACUACGUGCCAGCAGCCGCGGUAAUACGUAGGGGGCACGCGUUAUCCGGAUUUCCUGGGUGUACCGGGGGCGCCGCCGGCACUGCAAGCCCGGAGUGCAAGCCCGGGGCCCAACCCCGGGACUGCUCUUGGAACUGGAUGGCUGGAGUACAGGAGGGGCAGGCGGAAUUCCUAGUGUAGCGGUGAAAUGCGUAGAUAUUAGGAGGAACACCGGUGGCGAAGGCGGCCUGCUGGACUGUGACUGACGUUGAGGCCCGAAGGCGUGGGGAGCAAACAGGAUUAGAUACCCGUGUAGUC
rnacentral:rRNA from 1 species